ACGGAGGGUGCAAGCGUUAAUCGGAAUUACUGGGCGUAAAGCGCGCGUAGGCGGUUAUUUAAGUCAGAUGUGAAAGCCCCGGGCUCAACCUGGGAAUUGCCUCUGAUACUGGGUAACUAGAGUUUGGAAGAGGAGAGUAGAAUUUCAGGUGUAGCGGUGAAAUGCAUAGAGAUCUGAAGGAAUACCAGUGGCGAAGGCGGCUCUCUGGUCCAAAACUGACGCUGAGGUGCGAAAGCGUGGGUAGCAAACGGG
rnacentral:rRNA from 1 species